rnacentral:rRNA from 1 species
GCCAGACUCCUACGGGAGGCAGCAGUGGGGAAUAUUGCGCAAUGGGGGCAACCCUGACGCAGCAACGCCGCGUGCAGGAAGAAGGUCUUCGGAUUGUAAACUGUUGUCGCAAGGGAAGAAGACAGUGACGGUACCUUGUGAGAAAGUCACGGCUAACUACGUGCCAGCAGCCGCGGUAAUACGUAGGGAGCAAGCGUUGUCCGGAAUUACUGGGCGUAAAGGGCGCGUAGGUGGGCGCUUAAGUCAGGUGUGAAAACUCCGGGCUCAACCUGGAGACUGCACUUGAAACUGGGUGUCUUGAGGGCAGGAGAGGAAAGUGGAAUUCCUAGUGUAGCGGUGAAAUGCGUAGAUAUUAGGAGGAACACCAGUGGCGAAGGCGACUUUCUGGACUGUCCCUGACGCUGAGGCGCGAAAGCGUGGGUAGCGAACGGGAUUAGAUACCCGCGUAUA